UACGGGGGGAGCAAGCGUUGUUCGGAUUUACUGGGCGUAAAGGGUGCGUAGGUGGGCAGGUAAGUCAGUGGUGAAAUCCUGUAGCUUAACUACAGAACUGCCAUUGAUACUAUCUGUCUUGAAUACCCUGGAGGUGAGCGGAAUAUGUCAUGUAGCGGUGAAAUGCUUAGAUAUGACAUAGAACACCCAUUGCGAAGGCAGCUCACUACGGGAAUAUUGACGCUGAGGCACGAAAGCGUGGGGAUCAAACAGG
rnacentral:rRNA from 1 species